rnacentral:rRNA from 1 species
AGAGUUUGAUCCUGGCUCAGAUUGAACGCUGGCGGCAUGCCUUACACAUGCAAGUCGAACGGCAGCACGGGUGCUUGCACCUGGUGGCGAGUGGCGAACGGGUGAGUAAUACAUCGGAACGUACCUUAUCGUGGGGGAUAACGCAGCGAAAGCUGUGCUAAUACCGCAUACGCCCUGAGGGGGAAAGCGGGGGAUCGCAAGACCUCGCGCGAUUAGAGCGGCCGAUGCCUGAUUAGCUAGUUGGUGGGGUAAAAGCCCACCAAGGCGACGAUCAGUAGCUGGUCUGAGAGGACGAUCAGCCACACUGGGACUGAGACACGGCCCAGACUCCUACGGGAGGCAGCAGUGGGGAAUUUUGGACAAUGGGGGCAACCCUGAUCCAGCAAUGCCGCGUGAGUGAAGAAGGCCUUCGGGUUGUAAAGCUCUUUUGUCAGGGAAGAAACACCGGCUCUAACACAGUUCGGGAAUGACGGUACCUGAAGAAUAAGCACCGGCUAACUACGUACCAGCAGCCGCGGUAAU